rnacentral:sRNA from 1 species
ACAGUAAGCGAAAGCUGAAGCAGCACCUUUGCAGAAGGAGGGCUUGUUCCCGGGAAAACCAAAACAUUUCUUCGAUGCAGUCGGCCGGACGCUUCUUGCAUGGCGGGCAAACGUGCGGAUAGCCCGUUUCAUGGCCGGUACUGCCACGCGGAUAGAACACGCACCCGACAAUAAUUCCGCACGGAGGAUGCCUUAAA